rnacentral:lncRNA from 1 species
UGCAGCACGCGGUACGACCCAGAUUAGCAACGAGCUAGUUACACUGCCGACACAGACGAGCACCAGAGGGAGCCAGACAGGUUUAGGGUGUGACUCCCAUGGUGCAUCUUGGCCUUGACUUGUAGUUUAAAUGGAUGUUAAAAUGGAUGGAGGUUCGAAUAGGAGACCUUGGAGCAGAGGUCCAUAUGAAAUGUUCUGUUCUCAGCUCCACAGCUCAGAGGACACGGCCCGAUACUCGGUCUCAUCCAGAGAGUUCGUGACAUACAGCAACAGCGUCUUCACCAGCUACAACAAAAGGCCGGUGGAGGUGGAACGCGCAGUCCAGAAGCUUGAGCUCACCCGGAAGGAGCCGGUGCCGCGGAGGGCGGGCUCAGAGAUCAACCUGGCAUCUGCCGGGAAGCAAAACAAACGCACCUUGUUCAGACAGUCGCUGGCCGUCUGCACUGAGCGUGCUCAGACGGGCUUCCUGAACCCGCUCCUGCGACGCACGGCCUCGGCCAAGACCAGUCUGGGACGAGCUCCGUCAGCACCGUUCAUCCAACACGGGAAGGUUUUCCAGAGGAGGAAGGAGUGGGAAACCAAAGCUGCUGCCUGA